AUUGAACGCUGGCGGUAUGCUUAACACAUGCAAGUCGAACGGCAGCACGGUAUGUAGCAAUACAUAUGGGUGGCAAGUGGCGGACGGGUGAGUAACGCGUAGGAAUCUGCCCUCAAGCGGGGGACAACCCGAGGAAACUCGGGCUAAUACCGCAUAAACUCGGAAGAGGAAAGCUGGGGUAACCUGGCACUUGAGGAGGAGCCUGCGUCUGAUUAGCUAGUUGGUAGGGUAAAGGCCUACCAAGGCGAUGAUCAGUAGCUGGUCUGAGAGGAUGACCAGCCACACUGGAACUGAGACACGGUCCAGACUCCUACGGGAGGCAGCAGUGGGGAAUAUUGGACAAUGGGGGAAACCCUGAUCCAGCAAUACCGCGUGUGUGAAGAAGGCCUUCGGGUUGUAAAGCACUUUAGUUGGGGAGGAAGGUUAGCAGUUUAAGAGAUGGCUAAUUUGACUGUACCCAAAGAAUAAGCACCGGCUAACUCUGUGCCAGCCGCCGCAGUAA
rnacentral:rRNA from 1 species